AGAAGAUCCUAGCCUGAGGAACUCCUUUACCAGAGCAAACCUUCUUCACAAGAAAGAUUGGUUGAAAUGGAAAUAAUUUUCCUUUUGGACUCAGUACCUGUAUGUAAUGAGGAGGAAUCAUCCUGUUCAGAUUGAUCAAACAAUCCACCAAGUAUUGGGAUUGUCUAAUCCAAUGCAGGCCGUCGCAGAGAGAGAGAGAGGAAGAAACACUUCAAAGACCUUUGCACCUAGCACAUUCUGGCGCUUUAUAAAAACUAGAGAGAAUUUCUUUACAAUCGCCCAAAAAAAAACACACAUUACAAAACAGAUUGCAGACACGGAGAACACACAAAGAAGACACAUGAAUGCACUGUG
rnacentral:lncRNA from 1 species